UACGUAUCAGUUGGAUAGAAAAGACAAUUUUUUUUUCAUUCUCUUCUCUUUUUUCUCUCUCGAAGGAAACGUCAGGCGAUCGUCCAUGCGAUUCACCUCAAAUCCGGUUUUGCAUUGACUUUAAGAUAAGACACGAUUGAGCUUGAUAGCCAAGAACGGUUUCGGACUAUCACUACUGGUAUCUAAAUCAAUAGGGGAUGCAUAUUUUUGAAGCGCCCAGAGUUCUCUCUUGACCCUUCAUUCCCACGGUUCCAACUUCCAUCUCGCAGUACGGCUACAAAGACCGAUCUUAUCAGCACAGCCUUCUGUUUUUACACAAGUCUUACAAACAAGCGACAGCUUUGUGAUAUUUGCAUUAGAUGGACUCUGGGAACAUAUGACCAACCAGCAAGCUGUAGAGAUAGUGAAUAAACACCCUCGUCCUGUAUCAUACAGGCUGGAAUAGCUCCCUCAUGGUCUGUCAAGACAAAUUUGAGUCUGCAAGGCUCCAUCAGAACAGAGUUGAUGCCGCCAAAGCUAUGGAGGGUUGUGUGAACAGAUCCAUUCAGGAUAAUCUCGAUACAUUGCCUCAUAUUGUGCAGAGAAUGAAGACGUCAUUCUCCAUUGUCGAUUAAUAAUCCUCUGUUCGGAAGAAGGGGCAUCCUUACUUUUGCCCCUUGCUAAUCAUAGUUAUGUCUUUUCAUUAUCACUCAAUAGAUAAACACAAUGGGCGGUAGGAGUAGGGUAUGGUUUAAGUAUAUCAGACCAAAUGCUAAACAGUUUGUUUUUCACUUUAUAUAAGAUUAUAAAGAUCUUGAACAAACAAGCUUUUUCACAAUAUGUGGUAUGAGGCAUAAACAUGUCAAGAAUUUAUGUUCGUA